ACUCCUACGGGAGGCAGCAGUGGGGAAUAUUGCACAAUGGGGGAAACCCUGAUGCAGCCAUGCCGCGUGUGUGAAGAAGGCCUUCGGGUUGUAAAGCACUUUCAGUAGGGAGGAAGGUAGUGUAGUUAACACCUGCACUAUUUGACGUUACCUACAGAAGAAGCACCGGCUAACUCCGUGCCAGCAGCCGCGGUAAUACGGAGGGUGCGAGCGUUAAUCGGAAUUACUGGGCGUAAAGCGCAUGCAGGCGGCCUGUUAAGUCAGAUGUGAAAGCCCGGGGCUUAACCUCGGAAUUGCAUUUGAAACUGGCAGGCUAGAGUCUUGGUAGAGGGGGUUAGAAUUUCAGGUGUAGCGGUGAAAUGCGUAGAGAUCUGAAGGAAUACCAGUGGCGAAGCGGCCCCUGGACAAAGACUGACGCUCAGAUGCGAAAGCGUGGGAGCAAACAGGAUUAGAUACCCCGUGGU
rnacentral:rRNA from 1 species